CGAACUCCUGACGUCAAGUGAUCCACCUACCUCGGCCUCCCAAAGUGCUGGGUUUACAGUCCUGAGCCACGGCGCCCGACCAUCAUUUCUUAACGAGCAUACAUUAAAAUUUCCAGGCAGUCAAACUUAGUGACUGCUUUACAAACAUGAAAUAUCACACCAAUAUUUAAAGAAAUGAGCAAAACCUGUUUUUAAAAAUUUACACACACCAAAAACGACAUGGAAAACCUAGGCCCACUUUUAGGAUCGCCCUCUAGACAAAACAAAUAAGGAAAGGCUAAUCUUUGAGGAAAAUAUCCUAUAAAAUAUACCUGAGGGGAGAAAGCCCCUAUCAUGAAGAAAUGGUUAGAGCUAUUCUGUUUCCCUUGUGGUACUUUUAUCACUCUUUAAGAGAAUCCAUCACAGGCCUUCAAUCUCUAGCCAGCCUAGACACAGAUGUGCGUGGGCCGACCCAGCAAGGGGCAGGAGGAAAACCCCUCUGCUUCCUGUCCCCGGCUUCUCCCACUUACUCCCCCGCCCCCCACCUCUGCCCGUCUAAUGGUUCCCUGGGCCGACUCGGUCGCCCUGCCAGCCUGUCCUCCUUCACUCAGGCACACACUGUUUCCACGCCCGGGAGCCUGGCUCACUUGCAGAGCUAUAAAAACAGACAUCCACCAGGCACGGUGGCUCACGCCUAUAAUCCCAGCACUUUGGGAGGCCAAGAUGGGUGGAUCACCUGAGGUUAGGGGUUCGAGACCAGCCUGGCCAACAUGGUGAAACCCCAUUUCUACUAAAAAUACAAAAAACUAGCCUGGCAUCAUGUCAUGCGUCUGUAAUCCCAGCUACUUGGGAGACUGAGGCAGGGGAAUCGCUUGAACCCGGGAGGCAGAGGUUGCAGUGAACCGAGAUCACACCACUGCACUCCAGCCUGGGCAACAAGAGCAAAACUCCAUCUCAAAAAAAAAAAAACAAAACAAAAACACUCAGACAUCAGGCUGGCCGCCGUGGCUCAUGCCUACAAUCCCAGCACUUUGGGAGGCCGAGGCAGGGAGGAUCCCUUAAGCCCAGGAGUUCAAGAUCAGCCUGGGCAACACGGCGAGGCCCCGUCUCUACUAAAAAUACAACAAAAUUAGCUAGGUGCAGUGGUGCUUGUGGUGGUCUCAGCUACUUGGGAGGCUGAGGUGGGAGGAUCACUUGAGCCCAGAAGGCAGACAGAGGUUGCAGCACUGCACUCCAGCCUCGGUGACAGAGUGUGACUCCAAGUCACAGGAAAACCCAACAAAACACAGACGCCGCCCCCACCUGCUUUGCCCGACUCUGCAGAGUCCCACCCGGAUGAUCUGGGGGAGGGAAGGAGUUUGUCUUUUUCGAAGCCCUCUGUGGUUUUCGGAUGAGCGGAUUUAGGGACAGUCUGCACAUGUCUUUCACUCCUGCUAUGGACCCCAGAACCCACCACAGUGCCUGGCUAAAUUGCACGUGCUUAAAUAAAUAUGGAACAAAUGAACCAACUGACCUCUUUUGAUGUUCCCAGCCAUUCUGUGAGGCAGAGGAUCAAAUGGGUAUUAUUGUCCCCAUUUGACAGAGGCCCAGAGAGGUGACAGGAAUUCCCCAAGGUCACAGAUGGAGGGGCCCGAGGCUGCCUCCCACUACCAGGCUGAUUUCCAGAGGCUUAAGGUGGGGGCUGAGUUUAAGGAGGGGAAAAAGAAAAACACAUCCCCUUACCUAGUGGGUAGAGAGGAGUAGGGGCAAGGGAGAGAAAAGAGGAAACGAAAGAAGAGGGGAAAGAGGAAAGAAGAAGGGGAAGGUUAGAGAUGCCUAAAAGCAUGGAACUGGAGGAAAGACAUCAAAAUAACAAAGAGCAAGACUAGCCGCGUGGUGGCUCACGCCCGUAAUCCCAGCACUUUGGGAGGCCAAGGUGGGCAGAUCAUUUAAGGUCAUGAGUUCAAGACCAGCCUAGCCAACAUGGUGAAACCCUGUUUCUACUAACAAUACAAAAAAAUUAGCUGGGCGUGGUGGUACAUGCCUGUUAUCCCAGCUACUCGGGAGAGUGAGGCAGGAGAUUCACUUGACCCUGGGAGGCAGAGUUUGCAGUGAGCCGAGAUCAUGCCACUGUACUCCAGCCUGGGUGACAGAGUGAGAGUCCUUCGAAAGAGAGAGAGAGAGAAAGAGAGAGAGAGAGGAAAGAAGGAAGGAAGGAAAGAAAAGAGAGAGAGAGAGGGAGGGAGGGAAGGGAGGGAAAUGAGGGAAGCUAAGAGGGGGUUGGGCUGCAAAUCCUAUCUCUGGGCAGCGGGUCUGGGCCCCUCGUCCCUGCAGCAGGUCUGGGCCCCUCGUCCCUGCAGCGGGUCUGGGCCCCUCGUCCCUGCAGCGGGUCUGGGCCCCUCGUCCCUGCAGCAGGUCUGGGCCACUCUUCCCUGAGUUUGAUGCUUGGUUUGGAGUCAGGGCUCUGAGCCCAGAGUCCCUGUGGAAAACACAUCCCUCCACUGACUAUGGCCUCUGUCCCACAACCUCCCCCCUCCCCAGGCCUGUGUGUGUUUAGACAGCUUGCCCUGCAUUUUUAGAACAAUUUUUAACUUGUAGGCUGUACCUGCGGAACCAGAAUGUCUGGCCAAGACCUGUUACCUAACAGCCUCAGACCAUUUGGGUGCCAACAGCAACUGCAGCUCUGGCCCAAGCCAGGUGUGGGCUGACCUAGCCAGGGAGCGGGGAAGUGAAAGGAAUGGGUCCCUUCCCACUCAGAGGGCGGAGCCCCCACUUCUGGUGAGAGAAAGCUGAGCAGAAUGGAUCUAAUCUGAUUCCUCCACCCAGAAGCCCUUAAAAUGCAGCUUUGUUUUAAGCCUUCUUGAAGAUUUGGGCUAGAUCUAGAAAAGAACCUCACCACGGAGGAUGUGCAAAGUACAACACGUGACCCCGGAGACGGAAGCUCUUCUCUACCUCCGUAAAGAUGAUCUCUGAUGAACAGACAUGAUCAUGCCUGGAGAACAGGGAUGGACAGUCCCGCUUCUGAAAGACCCUGUCUGGCUGAUGAUUCAUGGUGCGCCGGGCAGACCCCAGGCCAAGAGACCCCACCCACAGUACCUGAGUGCUCAGCUGGGAACCAGACCAGACCUCAAAACAGGUUUGCAGAAUUAAGAUGAGGAGCUGAGCUCAACACAGCCUCCGCAGCUCCCCAGGGCGGGCCUGAGCCGAGGGAGAGCCCAUGGCCAUCAGGGUGCUGGAAUGCAUGUCACACUGCAUUACGUGCAUUACGAUCCACGCUGCAAUGACAGCCCAGAGCGUGGAGAACCCAGAGAGGGUGGGGAGAUGGAAUCCCGGCGAGCCAGCGCUGGCAGGGACCACGGGGAGCAGCUGGUCCAGCCGCCGGUUUUCCAAGAGAGAAGACUAAGAAGUGAGUCACUUGCCCACAGCCACAGAGAGAAGGAGGGCAACGAGGCCGGCAGGUCAGCAGCGAGCAGUUAGUUCAAGGCCUUGAGGGCUUCCACUAACUUUGAAGGGCGAGGAUGGGCGGAGCUCUGGAGGCCGCCGGGGUUCCCAAGGUUACCACCCAACCCUGCCAACUUUCGCACCCCGCAAGGAGCAAGACCCCGCCCGCUCACCACCUGCCUGUGCAGCCAACGGGCCUCGCUGAGCUGCCCUGGGCCGCUCCCUCCAUUCACACAGUUGGCCCUCCCUCUCCCUGCCUCCCUUCGCCUACCCCACGAACUACUUCAUCCCUCUGGGCCGGCACUGUAGAAGCCCCAUUGUUCACAUCGACCUCCCAAUUAUCUCCUCUUUCCCUCUCCCUCUGCUCCUGCCCAGACCAGCCCCCCAGCAUUGACCUGGAUGCCUGCCACAGCCUCCUCCCUGGUCUCCGGCCUCCCACCUCUGCUCCUCGGUCUCCUCUACCCAGCCAGUAACUGCAGAGAGCACUAAAGCACAGUCCUGGCAUCUCACCCCCUUAACCCUGGCCACGGCUUCCCAGUGCCUCCAAGAUAAAGCACCAACACCUGAGGACAGCAGCUUGUUUUGAGAGUCCCCUCCAUUGAAACACGCACAUCUAAUUUGUCCUUCAGUUCGCUGGACUCCACGCUGAACGUGCCAUGCUCCAUUGCCCCGUGAGUAACUCCAUGCUCUUGCCGGUUUCACACGGCCUCUCAGAGCUGGAGCCUUUGUUCAGGAGCCCUGGGCAGCUUUCAGGAAGCUCUUGGGCUCAUCAGCUUCCUCUGGCUGAAGCCGCCCCAGUGGAAUCAUGGGGAUUUCUUACUUUGAAGGUGGGGCCACCCGCAGACUGUAACCGGCUGGUUCAAGAUCAAGGACUUCCCCAGGCCACCUGCCUCAGAGGCAAGAAAGGCUCAGCUGAGUCCCAGACACUCCUCGCUGUGGCCCCUCCUUCCUCCCUGCUGGGCAGGCCCCCCUCAAUUCUGUUUGCCAGCAGGGCCUAGUAACACUGAAAGACGAAAAGGGAAAUAAAAUAAACACAAUUAAUAGGCUAAAGGUUACUGAAUAAAGUGGCAGCAGUAAAUAAAUUGACUACUGUGCAAAUACAAAGACAUGAAGACAUGAAACCCCUGCUCUAAAUGACCACUCACCAAGAGCAAGGCCUGGGCUGGAGGCAGGGAGCACCUCCCUAAGGAGCACUCCCUCUUUCCCGGAGUGAGUCCUCCUUCUAGAUGGAAUUCAGUCCGGGUUCCUCUUGAGCCACAGUCCCUGUUGGGGCCUAUCUCAGUGGACUCAAGAUCCUGAACUUCUUCCAGAUUGCUGACUACACAUUUGAGUCACCCAGAGAUUAAAAGAAAAAACAAAUAAUUUCCCAGUGAUCAGGAGUAAAUCAGCUGGGGCAGGGUUGGUGCUAUGAAUGACCACACUGAUUUGUACACUUCACUGAUUUGUAGUGUUUGCUAUUUCCGUCGUGUAAAUACUGCCAACAUGGACAAUCUUCAGUUGCUAAUGGUUUACUAACUGGCUUGUAAAUGAAUUCAUUCAGUAUUCAAGAAAAUGGCACUACAUUUAGAAACAUUUUGUAGCAUUUCUUACUUUCUAAGAAUUUCCAAUAGACACCAUGAUCACUAAAAAAUCAUAACCAGGCUGGGGGCAGUGGCUCACGCCUAUAAUUCCAAUAAUUUGGGAGACCAAGGAGGGAAGAUCACUUGAGGCCAGGAGUUUGAGACCAGCCUGGGCAACAUAGCAAAG
rnacentral:lncRNA from 1 species